rnacentral:rRNA from 1 species
AGAGUUUGAUCCUGGCUCAGAUUGAAUGCUGACGGCGUGGAUGAGGCAUGCGAGUCGAACGAAGUAGUAACUUGUUACUACUUAGUGGCGAAAGGGUUAGUAAUACAUGAGUAACUUACCUCUUACCUGGGGAUAACGGUUGGAAACGACCGCUAAUACCGAAUGAGGAGAGCUGGGGUAGCCUGGUUUCUUCAAAGUUGGGGAUUCUGCAAAGAACCUUGCGGUAGGAGAGAGGCUCAUGGGAUAUCAGCUUGUUGGUGUGGUAAAGGCGCACCAAGGCUAAGACGUCUAGGCGGGCUGAGAGGUUGACCGCCAACACUGGGACUGAGACACUGCCCAGACUCCUACGGGAGGCUGCAGUCGAGAAUCAUUCGCAAUGGGCGAAACGUGACGAUGCGACGCCGUGUGAACGAUGAAGGCCUUCGGGUUGUAAAGUUCUUUCGCUAAGGAACAAGAAAAGGUAACGAAUAAUUGCCUAAUUUGAGGGUACUUGGUAAAGAAGCACCGGCUAACUCCGUGCCAGCAGCUGCGGUAAUACGGAGGGUGCAAGCAUUAAUCGGAUUUACUGGGUGUAAAGGGCGCGUAGGCGGGUAAGCAAGUCAGAUGUGAAAUUCCGGAGCUCAACUCCGGAGCUGCAUUUGAAACUACUUAUCUUGAGGGUGGACGGAGAAAACGGAAUUCCACGUGUAGCGGUGAAAUGCGUAGAUAUGUAGAAGAACACCGGUGGCGAAGGCGGUUUUCUAGUUCUUUCCUGACGCUGAGGCGCGAGAGCAAGGGGAGCAAACAGGGUUAGAUACCCUGGUAGUCCUUGCUGUAAACACUGCAUACUUGGUGUAGUCGGUCUCAACCCCGACUGUGCCGUACGUAACGCGUUAAGUAUGCCACCUGGGGAGUACGCUCGCAAGGGUGAAACUCAAAAGAAUUGACGGGGGCCCGCACAAGCAGUGCAGCAUGUGGUUUAAUUCGAUGCAACACGAAGAACCUUACCCAGGCUUGACAUUUAGAGGACCGCAUCAGAGAUGAUGUUUGCCGCAAGGCCUUCUUGACAGGUGCUGCAUGGCUGUCGUCAGCUCGUGCCGUGAGGUGUUGGGUUAAGUCCCGCAACGAGCGCAACCCUUGUCGCUAGUUACCAGCACGUAAUGGUGGGGACUCUAGCGAGACUGCCAUGGUUAACUAGGAGGAAGGUGAGGAUGACGUCAAGUCCGCAUGGCCUUUAUGUCUGGGGCUCGACACGUGCUACAAUGGUCGGUACAGAAGGCAGCGAAGCCGAAAGGUGAAGCAAAUCCCAAAAGCUCGAUCCAGUUCGGAUUGAAGUCUGCAACUCGACUUCAUGAAGUUGGAAUUGCUAGUAAUGACGUGUCAGCAAUAACGUCGUGAAUACGUUCCCGGGCCUUGUACACGCCGCCCGUCACAUCAUGGAAGUUGGUUUUACCCGAAGUCGUCGACUCAACCGCAAGGAGAGAGACGCCGAAGGUAGGGCUGAUGACUGGGAUGAAGUCGUAACAAGGUAGCCGUACCGGAAGGUGCGGCUGGAUCACCUCCUUU